rnacentral:rRNA from 1 species
UACAGAGGUCUCAAGCGUUGUUCGGAUUCAUUGGGCGUAAAGGGUGCGUAGGUGGCAUGGUAAGUCGGAUGUGAAAUCCCGGGGCUUAACCCCGGAACUGCAUUCGAUACUGCUGAGCUAGAGUACUGGAGAGGUGAGUGGAACUCCGAGUGUAGAGGUGAAAUUCGUAGAUAUUCGGAAGAACACCAGUGGCGAAGGCGGCUCACUGGCCCGGUACUGACGCUGAGGUGCGAAAGCGUGGGGAGCAAACAGG